GUUCAACCGCAAACAAACCUUAAGAGAAAAAAUUAGGGUUUCAUUUACAAACAAACUUUAAGAGAAAAAGUUAGUGUUUUUCCAUGGAUUCUUGAUUGAGACUUCCUCGUGGAACUAUAGAUGCAAAGUGAAAAAAGAAAUCCAUGGCUUCUGGAUCGAGUCUUGUUUCUUUUGGAGAUAGAUAUGCGAAGUUAAAAAAAGAAAAAAAAAUUAUGGCUGCAGGCAGGAAGAGGUUAAUUCCCCUCGGUAGGAGCCAGUUCAUGCCCUAACUCGUUGGGCGGAGAAAAAUGCACUAAAAGAGAGACUUGUAAAAUGGAUUUUUUUUGGAUGUCAAACAUCUAUAUCCUUACCGAGGCUAGGUCAUUUGAAAACAGAAUGUGACUGUUUCCUUACCUGAAUGCAAUGAAGAUGAUUGAAAUUGAUGUGUUGGAGAAAGAAGUUUAUGGUGUUGAUGUGUUUACAUAUAAUAUGCUUCUUUGUUCCAUGCCUACGACGGGAUGGCUAGUUGAACAAAAUUUAUUAAAGACAUGUUUUUCCUGGAUUAAGCUCCCAGGUGAUGGGUUUGAUUGAGGACAAUACCUAUGACAUAUAAGCUCAAAGAUGUAAUUGAGGGGAUAAACACAUGUAAGGAUCUAUUUUCGGUUGUUAAAAGCUAACGGAAACAUGUUACGUCUCAAGCUAUGUGCAUUUUUAGGUUAGUACAUCAUCAAGUUCUUUUAACCAUAAAGAAACUUAUGUGAAACACCCAAGCUUUAA